UACGGGGGGGGCAAGCGUUGUUCGGAAUUACUGGGCGUAAAGGGCGCGUAGGCGGCGCAACAAGUCACUUGUGAAAUCUCCGGGCUUAACCCGGAGCGGCCAAGUGAUACUGUCGUGCUAGAGUGUGGAAGGGGCAAUCGGAAUUCUUGGUGUAGCGGUGAAAUGCGUAGAUAUCAAGAGGAACACCUGAGGUGAAGACGGGUUGCUGGGCCAACACUGACGCUGAGGCGCGAAAGCCAGGGGAGCAAACGGG
rnacentral:rRNA from 1 species